GUGAUCCCUCUUUUUUCUUAUCGUAGAAGGCGGCGAUCGAGAGGGGGUGAUGGCGCCGAGCGGCGUGAAGAAUUUCUAUCGUCAGAAGAAGAAAGGGGGCGUGGCCAAGCCCUCCUCCAAGCGGAGCAUCGCUGGGAAAUCUCCCGUCCCGUCCCCGUUCCACGGUUCUGAUGCGGAGCGCGAUAAGGCAUACCUGGCCGCAGGGAUCGGCGAGGGGGACGACGAGAAGCUGCGGCAGUUCGAUAUGGACAUGAGGUACGGCCCCGGCAUCGGGCUCAGCCGGAUGGAUCGAUGGGAGCGGGCGGACGCCAUGGGGCUGAAUCCACCCGCUGAAGUGGAGGCUAUCCUGUUGAAAUCGUCCGCUGCCGCCGCUGGAUGCCUCUGGGAUGCACGAAUCUAAAUUUAACACGUGGUGAGCCAUGGUGAAGCGUAACAACGUUGUACCAAACAGGCAUUUUAGGAAGCACUGGCAGAGCUAUGCAAGAACCUGGUUCGAUCAACCAGCUUGAAAGAUUAGGCGACGCAAUGCUCGCCAGAAGCUAAGAAAGCUGCGAAGAUCUCCCCUUUGUCUAGUUGUUCAAUGUCCAACACUCAAGUAUAAUACGAAGUCAAGAGCUGGGAGGGGGUUUACAAUGGAGGAACUAAAGCGAUGGAUACGAUAUACAAUGGUAUGUGGCUCUGUUGUUACCUGAGAGUAGACUUCAAACUAGAGAAAAAAGAGCUCCUGUUUCUUCUCUACACACACCAGAGAGAGAGAGAGAGAAGGGAAUAUUAGAGCGAGAAUCAGGGAGAGAGUCCCUGGCGCAGGACCUCCGACGCUUAAUUCAAUAUGAUAUCCAAGUGAAAAGUG